UCAAUAAGCGGAGGAAAAGAAACCAACAGGGAUUGCCCCAGUAACGGCGAGUGAAGCGGCAACAGCUCAAAUUUGAAAUCGGCCCCCCGGUCGAGUUGUAAUUUGCAGAGGAUGCUUCUGGGCAGCGGCCGGUCUAAGUUCCUUGGAACAGGACGUCAUAGAGGGUGAGAAUCCCGUAUGCGACCGGCGCGCACCCUCCACGUAGCUCCUUCGACGAGUCGAGUUGUUUGGGAAUGCAGCUCUAAAUGGGAGGUAAAUUUCUUCUAAAGCUAAAUACCGGCCAGAGACCGAUAGCGCACAAGUAGAGUGAUCGAAAGAUGAAAAGCACUUUGGAAAGAGAGUUAAAAAGCACGUGAAAUUGUUGAAAGGGAAGCGCUUGCCACCAGACUUGACGGCGGGGUUCCGCCGGUCUUCUGACCGGUCCACUCCCCGCCGGCAGGCCAACAUCGUCUGGGGCCGCCGGACAAGACGUCGGGAAUGUAGCUCCUCGGAGUGUUAUAGCCCGGCGUGAUGCGGCGCGCCCCGGGCGAGGUCCGCGCUCCGGCAAGGAUGUUGGCGUAAUGGUGGUCAGCGGCCCGUCUUGAAACACGGACCAAGGAGUCUAACAUCUAUGCGAGUGUUCGGGUGUCAAACCCCUACGCGGAAUGAAAGUGAACGGAGGUGGGAGCUUCGGCGCACCAUCGACCGAUCCUGAUGUCCUCGGAUGGAUUUGAGUAAAGAGCAUAGCUGUUGGGACCCGAAAGAUGGUGAACUAUGCCUGAAUAGGGUGAAGCCAGAGGAAACUCUGGUGGAGGCUCGCAGCGGUUCUGACGUGCAAAUCGAUCGUCAAAUUUGGGUAUAGGGGCGAAAGACUAAUCGA
rnacentral:rRNA from 1 species